rnacentral:lncRNA from 1 species
GAGACAUAUUUUCUAACAGAUCGGGCCUUGGGUUUGGCUGGUAGAAGCUGGGACCGCCUAUAUUAGGACUUUGUGAUCAAAAAAAGUUUGGAUGGUUCCUCCACCCUGGGUUGUAGGUUGGUGCAUAGGGGUCAUUAAUAGAUCUCUGAUAAGUUGCAUUCACCUGUGCAUAACCAUUUUCAGUUUGGGUCAUGAGGUAGGGACACUCUUCUAUUACAUGAUUUGAGUCACCGCAUCCAUUGC